AUUCAUUUAUCUCUGCCACCG
rnacentral:siRNA from 1 species